rnacentral:rRNA from 1 species
GAUGAACGCUAGCGGCAGGCCUAAUACAUGCAAGUCGGACGGGAUUGGAGAGCUUGCUUCCCAUGAGAGUGGCGCACGGGUGCGUAACACGUAUGCAACCUACCUUUACCAGGGGGAUAGCCUCUCGAAAGAGAGAUUAACACCGCAUAAAAUUAGUUUAUGGCAUCAUAAAUUGAUCAAAUAUUUAUAGGGUAAAGAUGGGCAUGCGGAACAUUAGCUAGUUGGUAAGGUAACGGCUUACCAAGGCGACGAUGUUUAGGGGAUCUGAGAGGAUGACCCCCCACACGGGUACUGAGACACGGACCAGACUCCUACGGGAGGCAGCAGUAAGGAAUAUUGGUCAGUGGGCGCAAGCCUGAACCAGCCAUGCCGCGUGCAGGAAGACGGCCCUACGGGUUGUAAACUGCUUUUGUACGGGAAUAAACCCUGAUACGUGUAUCAGGCUGAAUGUACCGUAAGAAUAAGGAUCGGCUAACUCCGUGCCAGCCGCCGCAGUAA